GAUUCGUCACACUAUCAUUAACUGAAUCCAUAGGUUAAUGAGGCGAACCGGGGGAACUGAAACAUCUAAGUACCCCGAGGAAAAGAAAUCAACCGAGAUUCCCCCAGUAGCGGCGAGCGAACGGGGAGGAGCCCAGAGCCUGAAUCAGCAUGUGUGUUAGUGGAAGCGUCUGGAAAGGCGCGCGAUACAGGGUGACAGCCCCGUACACAAAAGCGCAUGUGCUGUGAGCUCGAUGAGUAGGGCGGGACACGUGGUAUCCUGUCUGAAUAUGGGGGGACCAUCCUCCAAGGCUAAAUACUCCUGACUGACCGAUAGUGAACCAGUACCGUGAGGGAAAGGCGAAAAGAACCCCGGCGAGGGGAGUGAAAAAGAACCUGAAACCGUGUACGUACAAGCAGUGGGAGCACCCUUCGGGGUGUGACUGCGUACCUUUUGUAUAAUGGGUCAGCGACUUAUAUUCUGUAGCAAGGUUAACCGUAUAGGGGAGCCGGAGGGAAACCGAGUCUUAACCGGGCGUUAAGUUGCAGGGUAUAGACCCGAAACCCGGUGAUCUAGCCAUGGGCAGGUUGAAGGUUGGGUAACACUAACUGGAGGACCGAACCGACUAAUGUUGAAAAAUUAGCGGAUGACCUGUGGCUGGGGGUGAAAGGCCAAUCAAACCGGGAGAUAGCUGGUUCUCCCCGAAAGCUAUUUAGGUAGCGCCUCGUGAAUUCAUCUCCGGGGGUAGAGCACUGUUUCGGCUAGGGGGCCAUCCCGGCUUACCAACCCGAUGCAAACUGCGAAUACCGGAGAAUGUUAUCACGGGAGACACACGGCGGGUGCUAACGUCCGUCGUGAAGAGGGAAACAACCCAGACCGCCAGCUAAGGUCCCAAAGUCAUGGUUAAGUGGGAAACGAUGUGGGAAGGCCCAGACAGCCAGGAUGUUGGCUUAGAAGCAGCCAUCAUUUAAAGAAAGCGUAAUAGCUCACUGGUCGAGUCGGCCUGCGCGGAAGAUGUAACGGGGCUAAACCAUGCACCGAAGCUGCGGCAGCGAACGUAUCACCCAAGACAACUUUACGGAGUUGACGAUUGACGGAGCGAAGCGACGUCAAAGCGUUCAUUAAAGUCGAGUUGGCUUAGGGAUACGUUCGUUGGGUAGGGGAGCGUUCUGUAAGCCUGUGAAGGUGUGUCGUGAGGCAUGCUGGAGGUAUCAGAAGUGCGAAUGCUGACAUAAGUAACGAUAAAGCGGGUGAAAAGCCCGCUCGCCGGAAGACCAAGGGUUCCUGUCCAACGUUAAUCGGGGCAGGGUGAGUCGACCCCUAAGGCGAGGCCGAAAGGCGUAGUCGAUGGGAAACGGGUUAAUAUUCCCGUACUUGGUGUUACUGCGAAGGGGGGACGGAGAAGGCUAUGUUGGCCGGGCGACGGUUGUCCCGGUUUAAGCGUGUAGGUGUGUGUUCCAGGUAAAUCCGGUUCACUUUAACACUGAGGCGUGACGACGAGGCACUACGGUGCUGAAGCAACAAAUGCCCUGCUUCCAGGAAAAGCCUCUAAGCAUCAGGUAACAUCAAAUCGUACCCCAAACCGACACAGGUGGUCAGGUAGAGAAUACCAAGGCGCUUGAGAGAACUCGGGUGAAGGAACUAGGCAAAAUGGUGCCGUAACUUCGGGAGAAGGCACGCUGACACGUAGGUGAAGUGAUUUACUCAUGGAGCUGAAGUCAGUCGAAGAUACCAGCUGGCUGCAACUGUUUAUUAAAAACACAGCACUGUGCAAACACGAAAGUGGACGUAUACGGUGUGACGCCUGCCCGGUGCCGGAAGGUUAAUUGAUGGGGUCAGCGCAAGCGAAGCUCCUGAUCGAAGCCCCGGUAAACGGCGGCCGUAACUAUAACGGUCCUAAGGUAGCGAAAUUCCUUGUCGGGUAAGUUCCGACCUGCACGAAUGGCGUAAUGAUGGCCAGGCUGUCUCCACCCGAGACUCAGUGAAAUUGAACUCGCUGUGAAGAUGCAGUGUACCCGCGGCAAGACGGAAAGACCCCGUGAACCUUUACUAUAGCUUGACACUGAACAUUGAGCCUUGAUGUGUAGGAUAGGUGGGAGGCUUUGAAGUGUGGACGCCAGUCUGCAUGGAGCCGACCUUGAAAUACCACCCUUUAAUGUUUGAUGUUCUAACGUGGACCCGUAAUCCGGGUUGCGGACAGUGUCUGGUGGGUAGUUUGACUGGGGCGGUCUCCUCCUAAAGAGUAACGGAGGAGCACGAAGGUUGGCUAAUCCUGGUCGGACAUCAGGAGGUUAGUGCAAUGGCAUAAGCCAGCUUGACUGCGAGCGUGACGGCGCGAGCAGGUGCGAAAGCAGGUCAUAGUGAUCCGGUGGUUCUGAAUGGAAGGGCCAUCGCUCAACGGAUAAAAGGUACUCCGGGGAUAACAGGCUGAUACCGCCCAAGAGUUCAUAUCGACGGCGGUGUUUGGCACCUCGAUGUCGGCUCAUCACAUCCUGGGGCUGAAGUAGGUCCCAAGGGUAUGGCUGUUCGCCAUUUAAAGUGGUACGCGAGCUGGGUUUAGAACGUCGUGAGACAGUUCGGUCCCUAUCUGCCGUGGGCGCUGGAGAACUGAGGGGGGCUGCUCCUAGUACGAGAGGACCGGAGUGGACGCAUCACUGGUGUUCGGGUUGUCAUGCCAAUGGCACUGCCCGGUAGCUAAAUGCGGAAGAGAUAAGUGCUGAAAGCAUCUAAGCACGAAACUUGCCCCGAGAUGAGUUCUCCCUGAGACUUAGAGUCUCCUGAAGGAACGUUGAAGACGACGACGUUGAUAGGCC
rnacentral:rRNA from 2 species